rnacentral:rRNA from 1 species
AACGAACGCUGGCGGCAGGCUUAACACAUGCAAGUCGAACGGGUGUAGCAAUACAUCAGUGGCAGACGGGUGAGUAACACGUGGGAACCUUCCUAGGGGUACGGAACAACUCAGGGAAACUUGAGCUAAUACCGUAUACGUCCGUGAGGAGAAAGAUUUAUCGCCCUUAGACGGGCCCGCGUCGGAUUAGGUAGUUGGUGGGGUAACGGCCUACCAAGCCUACGAUCCGUAGCUGAUCUUAGAGGAUGAUCAGCCACACUGGGACUGAGACACGGCCCAGACUCCUACGGGAGGCAGCAGUGGGGAAUCUUGGACAAUGGGCGCAAGCCUGAUCCAGCCAUGCCGCGUGAGUGAAGAAGGCCUUAGGGUUGUAAAGCUCUUUUACCAGGGACGAUAAUGACGGUACCUGGAGAAUAAGCCCCGGCAAACUUCGUGCCAGCCGCCGCCGUAA